AAAUUGAAGAGUUUGAUCAUGGCUCAGAUUGAACGCUGGCGGCAGGCCUAACACAUGCAAGUCGAACGGUAACAGGAAACAGCUUGCUGUUUGCUGACGAGUGGCGGACGGGUGAGUAAUGUCUGGGAAACUGCCUGAUGGAGGGGGAUAACUACUGGAAACGGUAGCUAAUACCGCAUAACGUCGCAAGACCAAAGAGGGGGACCUUCGGGCCUCUUGCCAUCGGAUGUGCCCAGAUGGGAUUAGCUAGUAGGUGGGGUAACGGCUCACCUAGGCGACGAUCCCUAGCUGGUCUGAGAGGAUGACCAGCCACACUGGAACUGAGACACGGUCCAGACUCCUACGGGAGGCAGCAGUGGGGAAUAUUGCACAAUGGGCGCAAGCCUGAUGCAGCCAUGCCGCGUGUAUGAAGAAGGCCUUCGGGUUGUAAAGUACUUUCAGCGGGGAGGAAGGGAGUAAAGUUAAUACCUUUGCUCAUUGACGUUACCCGCAGAAGAAGCACCGGCUAACUCCGUGCCAGCAGCCGCGGUAAUACGGAGGGUGCAAGCGUUAAUCGGAAUUACUGGGCGUAAAGCGCACGCAGGCGGUUUGUUAAGUCAGAUGUGAAAUCCCCGGGCUCAACCUGGGAACUGCAUCUGAUACUGGCAAGCUUGAGUCUCGUAGAGGGGGGUAGAAUUCCAGGUGUAGCGGUGAAAUGCGUAGAGAUCUGGAGGAAUACCGGUGGCGAAGGCGGCCCCCUGGACGAAGACUGACGCUCAGGUGCGAAAGCGUGGGGAGCAAACAGGAUUAGAUACCCUGGUAGUCCACGCCGUAAACGAUGUCGACUUGGAGGUUGUGCCCUUGAGGCGUGGCUUCCGGAGCUAACGCGUUAAGUCGACCGCCUGGGGAGUACGGCCGCAAGGUUAAAACUCAAAUGAAUUGACGGGGGCCCGCACAAGCGGUGGAGCAUGUGGUUUAAUUCGAUGCAACGCGAAGAACCUUACCUGGUCUUGACAUCCACGGAAGUUUUCAGAGAUGAGAAUGUGCCUUCGGGAACCGUGAGACAGGUGCUGCAUGGCUGUCGUCAGCUCGUGUUGUGAAAUGUUGGGUUAAGUCCCGCAACGAGCGCAACCCUUAUCCUUUGUUGCCAGCGGUCCGGCCGGGAACUCAAAGGAGACUGCCAGUGAUAAACUGGAGGAAGGUGGGGAUGACGUCAAGUCAUCAUGGCCCUUACGACCAGGGCUACACACGUGCUACAAUGGCGCAUACAAAGAGAAGCGACCUCGCGAGAGCAAGCGGACCUCAUAAAGUGCGUCGUAGUCCGGAUUGGAGUCUGCAACUCGACUCCAUGAAGUCGGAAUCGCUAGUAAUCGUGGAUCAGAAUGCCACGGUGAAUACGUUCCCGGGCCUUGUACACACCGCCCGUCACACCAUGGGAGUGGGUUGCAAAAGAAGUAGGUAGCUUAACCUUCGGGAGGGCGCUUACCACUUUGUGAUUCAUGACUGGGGUGAAGUCGUAACAAGGUAACCGUAGGGGAACCUGCGGUUGGAUCACCUCCUUA
rnacentral:rRNA from 1 species